rnacentral:lncRNA from 1 species
UUAACCUCAUUUUACAGAUGACAAAACUGAGACAGAGACCUUGAGAGUCUUGCAUGAGCUUGGUCAAGUCUAACAAGUGGAAAAGGAAGGAAUCUAACUUCCAGACCAGCCCUGUGGGCCGAUAUGCUAUGCUGUGUUUCCUCCUCGGAGAAACAGAGGUGAUGAUCACUAUGUGGAAGACUGACGUGGAGACUUAACAGACUUCUUCCAGGAGAUCGAGGAGAUCAAGGUCACACUCAUUAACAAAUCGAGUCAGUGGCCAUUGGUGAUGCAGAUGUCAUGACAGAACCAGAACUGCUCUUGACUGGGAACCAGGAGAGAGUCUGCUUUAAACCAACCAAACCAGUAAGUUUCUGCCUACCGUUUUUCUUCUGUACUUCACAGGCUAUUGGCGCACUACCUCCUUUUCGGCUCACU